ACGCUCGACACCUACGGGAGGCAGCAGUGAGGAAUAUUGGUCAAUGGACGCAAGUCUGAACCAGCCAUGCCGCGUGCAGGAUGACGGCUCUAUGAGUUGUAAACUGCUUUUGUACGAGGGUAAACGCAGAUACGUGUAUCUGUCUGAAAGUAUCGUACGAAUAAGGAUCGGCUAACUCCGUGCCCGCAGCCGCGGUAAUCUGAGCGGCUGGCAAGGC
rnacentral:rRNA from 1 species